UACGUAGGGGCUAGCGUUGUCCGGAAUCAUUGGGCGUAAAGCGCGUGUAGGCGGCCCGGUAAGUCCGCUGUGAAAGUCACAGGCUCAACCUGUGAAUGCCGCUGGAAACUGUCUGGCUAGAGUCCGGAAGGGGCGAGUGGAAUUCCUGGUGUAGCGGUGGAAAUGCGCAGAUAUCAGGAGGAACACCUAUGGCGAAGGCAGCUCGCUGGGACGGUACUGACGCUGAGGCGCGAAAGCGU
rnacentral:rRNA from 1 species